AACGAACGCUGGCGGCGUGCCUAACACAUGCAAGUCGUGCGAGAAAGUUCCUUCGGGAGCGAGUAAAGCGGCGCACGGGUGAGUAACACGUAGGUAACCUGCCCCCCAGUCUGGAACAACUAGAGGAAACUCUAGCUAAUGCCGGAUGAGACCACGAUCCCUUCGGGGGUUGCGGCCAAAGAUGGCCUCUACUUGUAAGCUAUCGCUGAGGGAUGGGCCUGCGGGCCAUUAGCUUGUUGGUGAGGUAACGGCUCACCAAGGCUGUGAUGGCUAGCUGGUCUGAGAGGAUGACCAGCCACACUGGGACUGAGACACGGCCCAGACUCCUACGGGAGGCAGCAGUGGGGAAUAUUGCGCAAUGGGCGAAAGCCUGACGCAGCGACGCCGCGUGGGUGAUGAAGGCCUCGGUCGUAAGACCCUGUCGCAGGGAGAAGUAAGAC
rnacentral:rRNA from 1 species